rnacentral:rRNA from 1 species
AACCUCCGCAAUGUGAGAAAUCGCGACGGGGGGAUCCCAAGUGCCAUUCUUAACGGGAUGGCUUUUCAUUAGUGUAAAGAGCUUUUGGAAUAAGAGCUGGGCAAGACCGGUGCCAGCCGCCGCGGUAACACCGGCAGCUCUAGUGGUAACAAUUUUUAUUGGGCCUAAAGCGUCCGUAGCCGGUUUAAUAAGUCUCUGGUGAAAUCCUGUAGCUUAACUGUGGGAAUUGCUGGAGAUACUAUUAGACUUGAGACCGGGAGAGGUUAGAGGUACUCCCAGGGUAGAGGUGAAAUUCUGUAAUCCUGGGAGGACCGCCUGUUGCGAAGGCGUCUAACUGGAACGGUUCUGACGGUGAGGGACGAAAGUUAGGGGCGCGAACCGGAUUAGAUACCCGGGUAGUCCUAACUGUAACGAUGCGACUUGGUGUUGGGUGGCUUUGAGCUGCUUCAGUGCCGAAGGGAAGCUGUUAAGUCCGCCGCCUGGGAAGUACGGUCGCAAGACUGAAACUUAAAGGAAUU